ACGUUUCAGAAUUCCGAACCCCUGCAGGCUGCUGUUGCUGGGAGAGGGUGGUGCCCUUUGCAACCAGUUGGGAAGAAGGCGCCGAGCUGCUGCCGUGCGACAGCGCUUCUCUUCCUCCCCAAAGAGGAAGGAGAGUUUUGCCAGCUAAUUAGACUGCAGUGCUUCCCAGCUGAUGGGUGCCCCCCAAGUCCUAAUACACCUGUGUCGUUCUGCUAUCCUCCAGUACUGAAAGUUCCAGUUCAUGUGAGCACCUAGACAAGCCAGAAAAGAAGCCUCCCUCUUUUCUUUACAGUCUGUGUGGUCCAGGCGAGACAUUUGAAUCCCAGGGAGUGCUGUGUGACCCAGACGCAAACCCACAGGCACAGGCACAGCGAUUGCUGAAGGACCAAUACAAACAGUCAGGUUUGCAUGAUAAGGCUGGAAUGGGACCUUCUCUCCUCUGCCUGCCGGGCAACAGCAGAGGCUGGUCCUCCUGAGCUCCUGCCUCCUGAGCUGCUGUAUCCUGAGCUGCUGUAUCCUGAGCUGCUGGCUCCUGAGCUGCUGUAUCCUGAGCUGCUGGAUUCUGAGAUGCUGGAUCCUGAGCUGCUGGCUCCUGAGCAGCUGGAUCCUGAGAUGCUGGAUCCUGAGAUGCUGGCUCCUGAGCUGCUGGAUCCUGAGAUGCUGGAUCCUGAGAUGCUGGAUCCUGAGAUGCUGGACCCUGAGAUGCUGGAUCCUGAGCUGCUGGAUCCUGAGCUGCUGGAUCCUGAGCUGCUGCUGGCUGUGCGUGCGACCUUCCAAUGGUACAAAGGCAGCAGAAGGACCAAGGGGAGAGGAGAGAAACAGACUUCAUAACAGCACCUGAGCCCUGAGUCUUGCUGGGCCUUGGACCACAUCUCCCAUUACACCUUUCAGAUGUGAGCCAAAAAAUUUCCUCUUGUUCUUAA